UGGGGAAUAUUGGACAAUGGGCGCAAGCCUGAUCCAGCCAUGCCGCGUGAGUGAUGAAGGCCCUAGGGUUGUAAAGCUCUUUCACCGGUGAAGAUAAUGACGGUAACCGGAGAAGAAGCCCCGGCUAACUUCGUGCCAGCAGCCGCGGUAAUACGAAGGGGGCUAGCGUUGUUCGUAUUUACUGGGCGUAAAGCGCACGUAGGCGGACUUUUAAGUCAGGGGUGAAAUCCCGGGGCUCAACCCCGGAACUGCCUUUGAUACUGGAAGUCUUGAGUAUGGUAGAGGUGAGUGGAAUUCCGAGUGUAGAGGUGAAAUUCGUAGAUAUUCGGAGGAACACCAGUGGCGAAGGCGGCUCACUGGACCAUUACUGACGCUGAGGUGCGAAAGCGUGGGGGGCAAACAGG
rnacentral:rRNA from 1 species